GUUCCAAUUAACUUAAAUCCCUAUCAGGGAUUGAAAC
rfam:Calothrix sp. PCC 7507, complete genome.